rnacentral:rRNA from 1 species
AACGCGAAGAACCUUACCUACUCUUGACAUCCAGAGAACUUAGCAGAGAUGCUUUGGUGCCUUCGGGAACUCUGAGACAGGUGCUGCAUGGCUGUCGUCAGCUCGUGUUGUGAAAUGUUGGGUUAAGUCCCGCAACGAGCGCAACCCUUAUCCUUUGUUGCCAGCGGUUCGGCCGGGAACUCAAAGGAGACUGCCAGUGAUAAACUGGAGGAAGGUGGGGAUGACGUCAAGUCAUCAUGGCCCUUACGAGUAGGGCUACACACGUGCUACAAUGGCAUAUACAAAGGGAAGCGACCUCGCGAGAGCAAGCGAACCUCACAAAGUAUGUCGUAGUCCGGAUCGGAGUCUGCAACUCGACUCCGUGAAGUCGGAAUCGCUAGUAAUCGUAGAUCAGAAUGCUACGGUGAAUACGUUCCCGGGUCUUGUACACACCG